rnacentral:rRNA from 1 species
UACAGAGGGUGCAAGCGUUAAUCGGAAUUACUGGGCGUAAAGCGUGCGUAGACGGUUACAUAAGUCGGGUGUGAAAGCCCCGGGCUCAACCUGGGAAUUGCAUUCGAGACUGCGUAGCUAGGGUGCGGAAGAGGGAAGCGGAAUUUCCGGUGUAGCGGUGAAAUGCGUAGAUAUCAGGAAGAACACCCGUGGCGAAGGCGGCUCUCUAGUACGGUACUGACGCUGAGACGCGAAAGCGUGGGGAGCGAACAGG